CAGCCGCCGCGGUAAUACGGAGGGUGCGAGCGUUAAUCGGAAUAACUGGGCGUAAAGGGCACGCAGGCGGUUAUUUAAGUGAGGUGUGAAAGCCCCGGGCUUAACCUGGGAACUGCAUUUCAGACUGGGUAACUAGAGUACUUUAGGGAGGGGUAGAAUUCCACGUGUAGCGGUGAAAUGCGUAGAGAUGUGGAGGAAUACCGAAGGCGAAGGCAGCCCCUUGGGAAUGUACUGACGCUCAUGUGCGAAAGCGUGGGGAGCAAACAGGAUUAGAGACCCCCGUAGUCCCUGUCUCUUAUAC
rnacentral:rRNA from 1 species